rnacentral:rRNA from 1 species
AUGACAACACAUGUUAUGUUGCACAACAUGAUCAUCAAGGAUGAGAGAGAUGGCCCGAAAAACUUGCGGUUCCUCUACAAUGAUGUCAUGGUAGAGUUGGAACAUCACUCCAACAGAAUACAGGCACACCGAAGGAUCGAGAACCAGAAGAUCUCAACCAACUCCAAGAAGAUAUUGUUGAGCACCACUGGUUACUUCAUAUCACUUGAUUCUUGUGCUUUGAUCAUGUUUUAUUUGGAUUCUUAUAUUUCAUUUGGACCUAUAUUGUGUUUGAAAUUUGAAUGGCUAAUUUUUAAAAACAUUAAAUUUGAUAUGUACUUUAAUGUGUGUACUUGA